UGGGGAAUAUUGCGCAAUGGGCGGAAGCCUGACGCAGCGACGCCGCGUGGGGGAUGACGGCCUUCGGGUUGUAAACCUCUUUCAGCAGGGACGAAGUUGACGUGUACCUGUAGAAGAAGCGCCGGCUAACUACGUGCCAGCAGCCGCGGUAAUACGUAGGGCGCGAGCGUUGUCCGGAAUUAUUGGGCGUAAAGAGCUCGUAGGUGGCUUGUCGCGUCUGCCGUGAAAGCCCGUGGCUUAACUACGGGUCUGCGGUGGAUACGGGCAGGCUAGAGGCUGGUAGGGGCAAGUGGAAUUCCUGGUGUAGCGGUGAAAUGCGCAGAUAUCAGGAGGAACACCGGUGGCGAAGGCGGCUUGCUGGGCCAGUUCUGACGCUGAGGAGCGAAAGCGUGGGGAGCGAACA
rnacentral:rRNA from 1 species